UAUCCAGGCUUGGGACCGGCUAAGUGCAAAUUACCAUUUUAAAAUACUGAAAUUAAAUAAAGUGAUAAUAAAUUCUUUUUAUAUGAAACUGUGAAUUUAUGAUUUGACUCUUUGUGAUGGAAUUUCCAAUUGACAGUUGAAGUCUGUAUUGUGGUAGCAAUAUAUUCAGUUCUUCUUCCUCCCACUAUCCAUAAAAAUUUACAGGGGAAAAGAAGUAGGCCAAUAAAUGUUCAAUUGACUAUGAUGAGAGCAUAAAUACUUUAUAUACUUAAUUUACUAUAUAUAUUUCCAUAAAUACCAAAUAAAUUAAUGAGAAUCCUUGUCGUUAUCAUAUUUUCUAUACAAAUAUAUUGCUAGACACGUUCAAACAGUGAUUUGAUCCAGUUUCAGGGAACUGGUUGAAACUUGAAAGUGCUAUAUGUUUAUCUUUAAAGCCUUUAAUGAAAGUAUAACUUUUUUGGAGGCCAUAGAAAAUGCAUCUGAUACCUGUAACAUUGGUAUUUUUGUGACAGCUGUCUGUUACAUCGGUACUGCUGUCAAUUUGGCCUCAGAACAAAUCAAAUGAAAUGAUGUGCAAAACCUUUUGAACUGUGUUGUGUUCGAAUGUUCAUACAAACUGUAGUUUUUGCCUCGUAACCUUAUCUGUA
rnacentral:misc_RNA from 1 species